UGUUGCUUUGGCGGGCCCGCCUCGGCCACCGGCUCCGGCUGGUGAGCGCCCGCCAGAGGACCCCAAACUCUGAAAUUUAGUGUCGUCUGAGUACUAUAUAAUAGUUAAAACUUUCAACAACGGAUCUCUUGGUUCUGGCAUCGAUGAAGAACGCAGCGAAAUGCGAUAAGUAAUGUGAAUUGCAGAAUUCAGUGAAUCAUCGAAUCUUUGAACGCACAUUGCGCCCCUUGGUAUUCCGGGGGGCAUGCCUGUUCGAGCGUCAUUACAACCCUCAAGCUCUGCUUGGUAUUGGGCGUCCCCGGCGACGGGGUGCCCUAAAAUCAGUGGCGGUGCCGUCUGGCUCUAAGCGUAGUAAAUCUCUCGCUCUGGAUGCCCGGUGGAUGCUCGCCAGAACCCCCCAUUUUUACAGGUUGACCUCGGAUCAGGUAGGGAUACCCGCUGAACUUAAG
rnacentral:rRNA from 1 species